UCCUAUUAAAGAAGCCAUCUCUCUUCCAUCAAAACAGAAUAUCUUGUCCAUGAGAAGAAACCAAACCUUGAGGGAAAACAAAUGUGAGACAAGGAUUUCUGGCUCACGAUGUAACAUCUAUAGGUUUGGUCAUUGUAAUGGCCCAGCCCAUAGGGCUUUUGGGCUUGGCAAAAAUUUUGGUGAGCCUAAAGGACCUACGAAAGGAAGGAGGAAGACUCCUAAUCAGAGUCUUCUUCCCUUCCGACUCCGAUAAAAUCGGAGUGNNN
rnacentral:lncRNA from 1 species